GAUCGAACCUGAGUCCCAGCAGUGACAGCAAUGAAUCCUUAAUUGCUAAGCCAUCGGGGAACUCCUCCUCUGAGUACUCUUCGACUAGUUCCUGACCUUGACCCUGUCAUUGGCAGAGUCAGUUCAAUUUUAGCAAGAAUCUUGCUAGAUCUGUUUAGUAGAAACCCUCCACCUUGAUAUCUGAUCAAAUUCCUUAUUCCCAGCCUCCAUAACAUAUCACCCUACCCUGCCUUGAGCAAGAAUCCAGUCGAGUCACAUUUAUAGAGUUUCCGUUAGAUUUGAUGUUUCCUCUUAGUAAUUUAGCAUCACUGACUCCCACUCUGCUCCUUGGCUAUUAAUCUCCAUUUGUCCUGUUGUAUUCACUGUUGAGUCCAGUCUCUCCACUCUACUACAAAACCCCAUUAUAGUUAACCCUUGGAAUCAAGUCUACCUAACUUGUCUUUAACAAAUGUCAUGAGUUUUUUUGUUUUGUUUUGUUUUUUUUUAGCAGAGAGCCAGGGUCCUGCUAUAUAUGAGUACAAACAGAGGGAUGGAGAAAGAAAAGCAAAAGGCACAUACUUAGAAUGAAUGCAUUCUGACCUCUCAGGCAGGUGUCAGCCCAGGUCAGGUACUAACUUGCCACCUGGGACUGGAGGAGAGGUGAUCAUUAGGGACAUGGGACCCAGAGGAAACGGCUUUUUUUUAAUCAAAGCUCUGCCCACAUUCAAAGCUCUUGUUCUUGGGCCUGAGGCAGUGAGGUGUCCAGAGAGUAAAGAGAAGGGACUAUUGCAGAGCUGGUCAGGCAUCAUGUCCCCACUGAUCAAGAGGCAGCCUGGAAAGAACAGGAGCGGGCACCAAGGACAUUCUUCAUCUUCAGGAUGAAGGAGGAUGGUUCUGUGGGAGGCUGGUUCUGUGGGAACAUUUCCUGGACCUACGUGGCUCUGAAACGCCCACUGGCAGGUGAGUGACAGGAAGCUUCUGCCCACAGCCCAGGAGCAACUCAGUCCAGAGUCUCCCACCUUCUCUCACUUGCACACAAGAGCAGCCUGUCCUCACCCUUCCUGGGCACUCUGCUCCCCUGUUCUGGCCACCUCUGCAUCUUCCUGGCCUCCCAGACUGAGAUGGACAAGCCCUUGCUGCUGCUGUUGCUGCUGGCAGUCUUUCCUUUGGUCUUCUUCCAAGGAGUGGCUCCAGAUACAGUAUGUAUGGUAUGCCAAAAUUAUAAGAAAGGUCAGUGUUUGAGGGGCAAAGACAAAUGCAUCAUGGAACAAGGUCCUGGAUGCAGAACCAGAGAUUUCUUCAUUUUCUCGGCGAAAGAUGGAUGGCGCUAUAACCACACUCAACUGGACUGUUACGAUUAUUGUGUAUCUUCAAAUUUCUAUUUUGGGGACCUGAAGAUUUCAACCUUUUGCUGUAAAGGUCGAGAUUUCUGUAAUAUAUAUCAUGGAAAAGGACAGGAACCAUAGGCUCACUAACGGCAAAUUCCUUUAUCAGUGGUGGUGUCUACUGACCCUCUGUUCCUGGCAUCUCUGGUCCUGGAUCCCUCCACGUGUGCUCUCGCGAAAAGCAUGCAGUGUCCUCCUCUCUCCUCCAAGUUCCCCUCCUCACUUCUCUCCUGGCCACUGCUCCUUCCUCUGACACCAGGUACUCUCCAUUCACCCUUGGUUCUUCUCUCUGCUCCAUUCACAUCCGCAAGUCAUCAGCCCACCUCACCUGGCCUUUCCUGAGCCCUCAUGGUCCCUCCAUUUCUCUGGCUGCCUGCUCUCUAAUCCUACCAACUUAGAAGUGACUGCAAUGAGCCCAGAAAGGUGAUGGGUUCCAUUUUACCCAUUGGGACUUUGUGGGGUCAGUGGGAAGCUCAGGGAAAUGUGUCCAACUGGCAGAUGGAUUGAGAGGCCUCAGAGUCCAAGAAGGUACCAAGGCCUAAGGCAGAAAAAGUACGAUCUUCAGAUUUCGAUGCUAUGCACACACUCAGAGUCUCUUGAUAGCUUAGGUUGUAAGACUUAAAGAGGUUGUCCAGUGAGUGAGGUGGGAACAGGGGGGAUAAGUCAUUGACACUAGAGACCACCAAAAGAAAAGUGGGUGAGGGCACUCUCCAAAAAAGUCAUGGGUGAUGGUUAGAGAAGUAGUUGGGGAAGCAGGACUGCAGAGUGUCACUUCCUGUUUAUUUCUUUUGUCUUUUUGCCUUUUUCUAGGGCCACUCCUGUGGUAUAUGGAGGUUCCCAGGCUAGGGGUCUAAUCAGAGGUGUAGCC